UGCACCCAGGUGAAAUAAACAGCCGUGUUGCUCACACAAAGCCUGUUUGGUGGUCUCUUCACACGGACGUGCAUGACAUUUGGUGCCGAAGACCCAGGAUAGGAGGACUCCUUCGGGAGACGGGUCCCCUGUCCUCACCCUCACUCUGUGAGAAGAUCCACCUACAACCUCGGGUCCUCAAACCAACCAACCCAAGGAACAUCUCACCAAUUUCAAAUUGGGAAACAACUCCAAAAAUUGGAUUCCGGCCCUCAAACCCCACAACAGGACUUAAUUAACCUUGCCUUCAAGGUGUACAAUAAAAGAGAAGAGGCAGCCAAGCGACAACACAUCUCUGAGUUACAGCUCCUUGCCUCCGCUGUAAGACAACCCACAACCAUGUCUCCAGCAUACAAAAACUUCAGAACAUCCAAGCCACAGUUCCCAGGGGCUCCUUCAAAACCUCCUCAUGGACCUUGCUUCAAAUGCCAAAAGCCUGGCCACUGGGCCUCGGAAUGCCCGCAGCCCGGGAUUCCUCCUAGGCCGUGCCUUGUCUGUGUGGGCCCCCACUGGAGGUCGGACUGUCCAGCUCACAUCGCCACCGUUCCUAAAGCUCCUGGAGCUCAAACCCAGUGUUCCUUGGUCGACUCCUUCCCACAUCUCCUCAGCUUAGUAGCUGAAGACUGACACUGCCCAAUCACCUCGGAAGCCCCCUGGACCAUCACAGACGCGCGUGACAGUCCCCAGCACUGCAGAGAUCUGAGAUCCAAUAACAGUCUGCAGAGGUCUACUCACCAUGCAGAGGUCUACUCACACCAUAGCCACUGUUCUGGGAUUCCCAUUCCAUUUAGACCUCCUGAUUGCCCCGUGUCUUCUUACAAUAAACACCGCUUCACUUA